AUUGAACGCUGGCGGCAUGCUUUACACAUGCAAGUCGAACGGUAACAGGGUGCUUGCACCGCUGACGAGUGGCGAACGGGUGAGUAAUGCGUCGGAACGUGCCGAGUAGUGGGGGAUAACGCAGCGAAAGUUGUGCUAAUACCGCAUACGUACUGAGGUAGAAAGUGGGGGACCUUCGGGCCUCACGCUAUUCGAGCGGCCGACGUCUGAUUAGCUAGUAGGUGAGGUAAAGGCUCACCUAGGCGACGAUCAGUAGCGGGUCUGAGAGGAUGAUCCGCCACACUGGGACUGAGACACGGCCCAGACUCCUACGGGAGGCAGCAGUGGGGAAUUUUGGACAAUGGGCGAAAGCCUGAUCCAGCCAUGCCGCGUGUGUGAAGAAGGUCUUCGGAUUGUAAAGCACUUUAAGUUGGGAGGAAGGGCAGUAAGCUAAUACCUUGCUGUUUUGACGUUACCGACAGAAUAAGCACCGGCUAACUCUGUGCCAGCCGCCGCAGUAAGAC
rnacentral:rRNA from 1 species